AUUUUCCACUUGUGUUUCCUUCUUUUCCUUCCUUUCAAAACUACCACUUUUUCCUUUUCCUUUUUUUUUUCUCGAGAAGACAAACUUUGCACCCAUCCUUUCCUCAAAUUUCUUCCUCUUUCUAUCUCUCUUCCCUCUCUUCCUUCUUCUCUUUCUCUUCCUUCUCUUUCUCUAACAUUGAGAUAAAACUAUAAUCCCUAAUCUAAAUAAUUUUUGCGUUUCCGAAUGACAUAUGAUUUCGGCGAAGUGAAAAUCGUUGCUCGGUGGAUCUGCUUCUCCUCUUUCUGCUUUUUAGGUUCUUGCAAAGAGGUUGUCCGAGGAAAAAAUGGAUGGUUUGAAAGAGUAGGUUUUGCACUAUGUCGGUGUUGGUUCGCGAUUUUAAAUUUGGAGUAGUAUGUCCUUUUGAUUGAUAACUCAAACAGCAGGUCCUUUUUCUAGCGAGUUUUCGUCGGGGAAGCAAGGGAAAUCGAAGGGGACGGAGUUUAAGCAGGCGAUAAAAGCAGGCGAUAUGUUUGAGAGCAUGCAGUGACAACAACAACAACCAAAGAGCAUUUUGAACGGGUGGUAUUCGACAAGAACGUGAGUUUGUUAUUUCCUGAAGAACUAUUAUUUUGACUCUAUUUUCGAACAUCGAUUGCAGGUGCAGAAUUGUGGUACCGGUUUGGAUUCGUGGAGCAGGAACUGUAGGUAAUACAAAAACUGUCACCUAACCGAGUUUGAUUCUUAUCUCUGCAUUCACACCGGCAUCCAGAGACCUCUUAGAUCAUAUUUGCAAGGUUAUGAAGCAUUAUUAUUAUUUUUUAGAAGUGCAACUUUUGAGACAUACCGAUGAAUGUUUCUAAACUUGUGCAAUGUAUUGUUAUGUUGCACUGCAGUUGUUGAAUAAUGAAGAGAUUGAAGGUGAGAAUUGAAGCUUUAUAGGUUGGUUGGAGCUGCAGAAUUUAUGUUUCAUUCAUGAUGAGUUUACAAAAUCACGGCGUGUUACGAUGAUAUUUGCUAAAGCUAUAAUUCUGGAAAAAAAUUGAAUGUUCGGAUCUCACCGGGUUGAGUGAGAUUCAGUGGCCUACUUUUGUUCUACUGACUGUGGGGAGCACUACAACUUAAAUGUUGAUGAAUUUCUAUGAGGUACUUGAAGUACUGAUAACAAAAGGAGUAGGCGGCAUUGAUCGUCGAAGUAUCAAAGGUUGUGUGGUUUGUUUGAAUUAUUUUCAAGAACAAAAGGAGCAAGUCUCAUUUUAAAUUCUUCAUCUCACCCUCUUCUAUGUGCCAUUGUUUUUUGUUCUGCUGUGGCUUAAUAAACUCAUCCCCCAUUUCUCACGUAUUGUUAUUAGAGGUGGUACAUUUUCUCUCUGUUCAUUGAGGUUCCGAGCUACAUCAAGAGAUAGGUGGUCAAUAGUGGUUCAUUUUCUGAACUGGAUUGUUCUAAUGAAAUUUCGUUUAGUUCGAAACUUAAACAUGGUGGUCGUAGCGAGACUAAUAAAAGAACAACAUGGACUGGAGAAUAACAUAGGUAAGUUUGAUUCUAUCGAUAGGAUUGUGGCUGAAAUGAAAGGAUGAUGGGAUUGAAGGUUCAAACGUGAUUGAAAACGAUGGAAUUGAAGAUUCAAACGGGAUACAACCAAAGCCAAAUACAUGGCAAGGAAAGUUGUUGCUGCUCAAGGCAAAACAGAUCAGCAGUCCCAUUCAUUUUUUCGAUACAACAAAAGACUGGAUGAUAUUAGGUUGUGCAGGUGCAGGUGAAUUAGUGUGUCAAUGUUUUUAGCCUCUUUCGUUUCACGUCUUGCAGGGUCUCUGUUUGAUUGUAAGCGUUGUUUUUCGGUUGGAAUUUAUAGUUGGCUUCUGCAGAAUCAUCCGUUUGCUGUUCUGUUUUGGUUGGUUCUCUUCGGUUCAGUGAUGCGAUGAAACUUUGGUCCGUUGAUGGCGGGUAAGAGCUUGAUAGUUUGGCUGAUAGUUUAGUUUGUUGGCUAUCAUGUUCAAUCAUCUUUUUUCCAAACUAUUAUGCUGUCAAAUUUAAAUAGGUGACUCCGUUGAUACCAAUUGUAUGCCGCAUAUCAUAACCGUAAAUUAUAGCCCGGAUCAGAUUCGUAAAUUGUAUGCUGCAUGAAAUAUAAACCAGAUUUAUCAAAUGGAUUCUGUGAAUCUCAUUUAUCACAUAUCAAUUUGAAGUGAUUUAAACCAUAUUGU